CUCGCUCCCCGGUCCCCUCCCUUCCUCACCCACGCAAACCCUAACUCCUCUUGAUCCCGUCCCCUUCCUCCCCGCCAGCUCCACCGAUCCUCCCUCGCCCCGGCUCCCUUCUCUGCCACGACCGGCCAGCGCGCCGCCAUGACCGGCCAGCCCAGGCUCGCGUCGCCCGCUCCGUCCGCGCCUGCGAUGACCUCCUCGACGCCCUGCUCGUCUGCGGGCCGAGGUCCUUGCUGGCGGCCUCCGUCUCGUGCUCGAGCCGCCCUCCGCGCGCCCCUUCCCCUCGGCUAGAUCCGACCGCCUGCCAUCUCUGACCUUGCGGUCUCUCGUUGAUCUGCUGCACGAACACGGUGGCAUGCUCUUCCAGGACGGUUCAUCUCCCUCCAUCUCUCUCUCUUCCCUACUCUCUCUUUAUCAUGAUUUCUUAAUCUAAAUCUCUCUCUGAAGGCACCCAUGAAGGCGAAGAUGGAUCCUCACCGGAGAAGAGGACUACUCGGGUGGUAGCCGCCAAGUGCAAGGCCAGGGAGUACACGAUUUCGCCGCCCACGCCACCCAGCUCUUUCACUCGAGGGAUGUCCGCCACGCCGACUUGACCACUCCGUCCCCUCUGUCGCGGGUGCCUCCCAUCUUGUGCACCCCCGCCGCUCCUCCCCACCAUUCGCGAGGAGGGCGGCGCCGCUGCCCCUGCCCCGCCGGUUGUACCCCCAUCUUCUCUGCGCGGAUCCGCCUCCGAGGGAGGUGGUGAUCAGGUGAACAACAUAUGCCUGGAAGACCUCUGGCAUAAUGGCGGUGUGCAAGCAACGUCCUGUUGCAUUCUACAUUGCAUUCUACAGGCACUGUCUGUCGUCUCGUGUCAGCGUCUCAUUAUCGUGUACAAUCUAAAUGAGUAAUUCGGAGUCGCUUGUGUUUGAUUUCAGUUCAUAAUUUUGUGAUAUGCUCUUGAUCUUGUUCUGUUCCAUACUAGGGAGCUUCUUCUCCUCUCAUGUUGUUGUUGUCGAUUUGGUACUAGCUAGAAUGAUUCCUUGAGCUUGAUGAUGACAUAUUGUACACUGUCUUGCUCCAGUGUUACAUAAUUGUUAUCACAGUACACACAUACCUCGUUGUUGUCCAUGGAUCUUGUUCUCUGCUGCCAGCAUUGACUGGUUGUAGUUGUUUCGGCAGAUCACAUCACAUUCACAUGGGCGCAUGUGUAGCACUGACUGGUUGUACACACAUAAUGUUGGUUGGUUGUCCACACAUAAUGUUGACUGGCUGUAGUAGUUAUUGACUGGUUGUACACACAUAAUGCUGGCUGUUAUGUAUUGAUUUUAGUAUCGAAAAUGGCUCAAACCUGAAGUACUUAAAAUAGAUUGUCGUUCCUUUCUUGUUUGUUUUCUUUUGUGAAGUUAGUGGAUGUUGAUCAAGUCCCCCUUUCCGCUGUAUGAAACGUUUCUCCUGUUGUACUUAAAAAGCUUUCCGCUGAUGGCAGGAAGAAGGCUGUUCACAAGAAGAUGGCAGGAAAAAGCAGGCUGAUUCAAUUCGAUCCUCAAGAUGCUGGCCUUUCAUGUUUCUUCACGAGCAUCAGGACAAGAAAGUUGGAAGAAGCAUAGUUCUAGCUCAUUGGAGCUAGUUCUGGGAGCAAUGAAACCCUUUAGGCCGAUCCUAUUUGUAUGUGUGUUAUAUGAUGUAGCAAAACUUGUAGGGCUCAUGUGAUAGACUCGUGUGGUAGAUUGUACACUUGUAGAGCUGUUAUCUAAUUGUAAACUUGAUGUUGAUCACAUUUGUAUGUAUGUUAUAUGAUGUAGCAGAUUGCUUCUUGCUGUUAUUUGAAGUAUUGCGUCGGUUUUCUGUAUUGGUAUAUUGAAAUCUGAAGAACAUGACCUUGACAAAACAAAGAAAAACAAAGGCUACAGCCCAAAAACAAAGGUGCAUAAAAAACGAAAAACAAAGGCUACAACCCAAAAAUAAAAAGGCUAUAAUGUUGGGCCUGGCCCAUGUAGCUGAU